UGGUGGAGUGAUUUGUCUGGUUAAUUCCGAUAACGAACGAGACCUUAACCUGCUAAAUAGUAACACUAACUUUUCCAAGUUGGUGGAGACUUCUUAGAGGGACUAUUGACGUUUAGUCAAUGGAAGUUUGAGGCAAUAACA
rnacentral:rRNA from 1 species